GGAGCGGUAGUUCAGUUGGUUAGAAUACCGGCCUGUCACGCCGGGGGUCGCGGGUUCGAGUCCCGUCCGCUCCGC
rnacentral:tRNA from 1 species